AUGCUUGCUUCAGCAGCACAUGUACUAAAAUUGGGAUGAUACAGAGAUGAUUAAUUAGCAUGGUCCCUGCACAAGGAUGACUCACAGAUUCAUGAAGCGUUCCAUAAAAAA
ensembl:snRNA U6 U6 spliceosomal RNA